AGCAGCACUCCACAACUCCCCUUAGUAGGGGUAGUGGGUAAGGGAAGGCUGCCAUGAGGCAGAUGGGGAAGAAUCACUGGAACAGGUCAGUGACACUCCUCCCCCUGCUCUAGACACCCCCUCUCCCGGGGACAGAAGACCUCGCCCACUUGCUACCCUUCUUCAGAGUACAGCUCUCAAUUCCACCCAGCAAGAGAUGCUGGCUCUCCAAACCCAGCCAGAGAACAGCCAUCCUGGUGUUCAGCAGCAGGGGGGUUGCUUUGCAGGAGUCAGAAGCCCAGGAGGAAAUAGCCCCAGGACAUAUAAAAUAACGCGUGGAGCCCCUUCCCAAGGCUCUACUCUGAUGCAACCCCCAAGCUACUUCAGCCAGCACUGCAACCCUCAAUGGCUCCCCUUCAGUACAACCUACGGGGCCUGCUACAAGCCCUGGAAGAUGGAGCCUGAGACUUACCACGGGGAGAUGCCCUUGCAUUCAGGUGACCAGUACCUGACCACUACUCAUCAGAUUUCCUUCCAGAACCCUCCUCUUGGUCAGUUGAUGUUCCCAGUUCACACUCUGGGCAGAAAAGUAGCACCAACAGUGCGUCCAGGCUACAUGGAGUGUAUCAGCCAGUAUCAGUGACUUCCAAGCCCCAGGGUGGAGUCCAGUCCUUGAACCUGACCCAGACAGAAACAGCCAGGGGAUCAAGUGAGUAACCAGAACUGUUGGCAAGCUGCAGGCUUGCCCUGGGGGAAGGGGACAGAGGAGGGCCCUAUUUCCCAAGACAAAGGUGAAAGCUCAGAACUCAGGCUUUGGUUCAAUUCAGAGACAGAGCUGUAGAAGGCAACAGAGCAAAGGACUAACUGUUGUAGAAUCUUGGAUUUCCAUCUAGUUCAAAUUUACUUAGUCCUCUCACCUCACAUAAGCUUUGGGCAAGGACAAACUGCAUGCUGUUCAUAACUGAGGGUCAGCCUCCUCCCCCAUGCCUCCCUGGGAGACACGAACUCUAACUGCAAGCCAGGAGGUAGAGUGCCAGGCUUAUCCAGGACCCAAGAAACUAUGAAGAGUCAGGCAUUCCACUUGGCCAUCCUUGUCCUGGCUUCUUCCCUAUCAAAGCCUGCUUCCCCUGGAGCUCAGAAUGGCCCUCUAUAUCCCUCUGACUCAUCCCUGAAAGGUUAGAAGGCCCAGCUCCAACCCAAAGCCAGUGUCACAUAAAUGUUACAGAAACCACCAUCCUAUUCCAAAGUGGUGGAUGAAAGGAUAAUCUUCACA